rnacentral:lncRNA from 1 species
UGAAAAAGGAAAGCAUCAUGUGGGAAGUCAAAGGUUAGUAAAUUCAUCUACUUUGUUCAAUGCUGAUAAUGCACUGCUUGAAUGUUUUGUCCAGUUUUUGAUAUUACAGUUCUAGAAAGGUGUGGACCAAUGCUGGAAAGUUCAAGGAAAAGCAACAGGGAUAAUCAGGGGUCUCGAAUACAGGACCUAUGGGGAGAAAGGUUUUGUGUUGUUACACAACAGAGGAAGUUACAGAGGAAAUCAAGGUGAUAACACAGCUAUCAAAGACAAGUGUGCUGCAAAGAGGGAUCUGCUCUUCAUGUCCAACUAGAAAGGAUAAUACCCAAUUUGCUGCAAGAACUGUUUGGAGUAUAAUUUAGGGAAAAAAUCUGGAGCUAAAAAGUACUUUUUCAAGAGAUUAUCAGAGAGUGCUUUGCUUAAGAGUCCUCACUAUUGGAGGUGUUUAAAAGAAGGCUGGGAAAACACAUGCUACUAGUACAUAUAUGGUUGAUCUUUGGGACAGAAAGGUGGACUAGAUAAUCUCUUGGUGUUCCCUUUUGGAUCUGUUUUUCAGAAAACACCUUGAAUCAUAGAUGGGUGAUGAAAUUCAGUUCCAUUUGUGUAUUUGCUCUGAAAACAGUUAUUUAGGGUGUCAAAACUGAAGUUCUUCGGUCGUGGUCUGACAUUAUUCAGUUAGUCUGACAGUUGCUGAAAUCUCCCUUUGUUGUGUUUUCUGCCAAUGCAAACUCAAUAAUCUAAUUAAUAUUUUGAGGUCAGUUUUCCCAUCUCUGCUCCAGACAAUAGGUGCUAAUGCUGGAAAAGAAAAGGACACCACCAAAAGACCCCAAAGACAGAGCAGCUUAUGGAGAGACUGGAAUGGUGCUAACCUGGAGGGAGUCAGCUGAUGGGAGGUCAGGCUGUGCAGGGAGCCUCUGGAAAGGCACAGAGGUUCAGCUCACCUAUGACUUCAGCAACCCAGUGCCCAAAUGGUCAGAGCAGCCAGGACCAGCACCUUCAAUGGCAGGGGGCACUGAGUUCUGCUAUCUGAGCUUUCAGAAGACUUCUGAGCCUGAACCUGUGGAUCUGCGAGCCCCAGGUCACCCAACUGCUGCCCUGUUACACUUUCUCCCCAGCCAGGGAAGAGUGUGCUGUGCCUCAGACUGCUCUUCCAGACAUCACUUGUAAGAAGACAUCACCAUGAGGUGAAUAAAGUACUUUAUCUACAAGGUGUAGCA